rnacentral:lncRNA from 1 species
UGGUAGGCAAGAAGGGGACAACCCAUUCGUGACCCUAAUACAACGACGAUCAGGUCUUAAUUACAUACACAGCGUCUUGACGAUGACAGAUCGUUAAUAUAUAUUGGAUCAACAAACCUAUCUUUUGAUUCAAUGUAUAUAUAUGUGGUCGCAAAAAUUUGGUCAUGAAUAGACGAAGUUGUCUGCACAAUUAGAAGAGCAAUGUGGUGAAGAUCGAAGUAAAAAUCUAACACUAGUUAGUAGUUACUAAAAACUCAGAGAAUCAUAUCUUGGUGGUUGAUAUAUAGUACAGAACAUAUCGUACGUACUAGAUAUAUAUCAUAGAAGAACACACAAGGAUAAGGUAAUAGGGUUUGUAAUAAAUGGUGGAUAGAAGUGAAGGAAGCAUAUGAAAUCAAUGCACACGAGUGGUGUGCCAUGGAACUUGUAUGAGUCAUCCAAGACCAAGAGGGAUUCUCUGUCUCCUCUUUGCUUUGAGUAGGAAGAAAGUCCCCAUCUUCUCUAGGCAAGGAAAUAAGAUAUGAUCAACUCCUUUAGAUCAAACAAAUUUUUUUCAUGAAAGUAUAUAGAUAUCUAAGGCGCUUAUGAUCGAAUGCAAUUAUUGCUCUAUGAAAAUGAUGCAUAUUUGCUGAUUACAUACAAUCUCAUUGCUAUAUAUAUUGGUGAUCAGUUGGUUCACUGUGCGUGAAAUGACCUAUAAAAUGAUCCAAAUCCAUGUCUAAACUCUAAACAUCUUCUGAGUUCUGACCUUCAUAGAUGAAAAUGCAUUAAAUUCAACUAGUGCAAAUUAAUAUUAUAAUUUUCACAUUAUAUUUUGUUGCUAAUAGUGCAAAAUACACUAGGUCCAUGAUAUAUGUGGAAUCUAUAAAAUCGAUGCUUUUGCAUAAUGAUGCAUUUGAAAAUACUGAAAAAAUCCAAUAUUGCGAAAAUGUCAACGAGGCAAUAUAUAGACAACUCAAACCUUUUGUAACCAAGCAAAAUUACAACAGAAAAGGUCGAGUAUAUAAGUUUGUAUAUGAACUCUACCUGAACUCCUGAAGUCCUUUUCUUUCAGGGGGGGGGGGGAGCUGCUUGGUUUGUUCAAAACAAAAACCUUGGGCUAGCUAGUUGAUGAUAGUUUUAUUGAUUUUGACCUAAAGUCACAAAAUUUAGAAAGAGAGUGCUAUAUUAUUUGAGCAUAUUAUGUAAGUACAAUAAAAAGAAAUUUCAAGUGUCGUUCCUUUUCAAGUUGGAGAUCGAGUAUAGUACUAUAGUGUAGUUGGAAAUUGGAAUGAGUUAGGUUAAAAGAAAAAAAGAAAAGAAAACAUCAAUCCAAACUUGGAGAUGUUGACAAGACAAUGGUAUAGCUAAGGUUGGGGAUGUUUCUUUAUCAUGAAGAUGUGACCUGCCUCUAAUUCUAUACCUUUGGCUCAAAAGUUGAUUGAGUUUGGAUGAUAAGUACUGCACUUGAAGGGCAUAUAGCAGCAUAUACAUUGCUACGUAAUCUAUAUAUUGAUUAUGAUAGUAAUUUAUAUUAGAUGAUAGAGAUUUUUGGACAUAACCCCAUUUGAAAGUCGAAAUUUGAGAUACCCUCGUUUGAAAGUCGAAAUUUAAGAUACCCCAUUUGAAUUUUUUUACCCCCAUUUUAAGACAGCUUGAUUGAGAUUUACAACCGUAGGUUAGUUUUAUGAUGGAUGGCUAAGAUAACACCACAUCUUGAAAUGGGGGUAUCUCAAUUUUUUUUUUCAAAUGGGUAUCUCAAAUUUCGACUUUCAAAUGGGGUAUAUAUAUCCAAAAAUCACCUAUACUACACAUGAUUAGUAGAAUAUAAUUAACCCGUGUUUAAAUUAAACUCCUAAGAGUAACAUCAAUCCUGUAUCAAUUGUUGUGAAGCAUAUAUUAAACAUAAUGAUUAUGACUAUGAAUCUAUAUAUUAUGAUGUUAAUUAACAAAACCUGGGAGACAUGGAGAUUCUCUGCAGCUUUACAAUUUGGUAGUAAUGACCAUAGAGAUAUGACAUAUCAACUACUUGAAGAUGAAGUGAUGACUGAUGAACAUAUAUAUACGUAGUGCCAAACACAUCAGUACCUUAUAUCAAGCAUAUAUGUUUAAUCAAUCAAACAUCUUAUAUAUAUAUACAUAGCAUCAACAAUAUUGGUGAACGUGUAUGUAUCUGUGCCACAGGCCACAGCCACAACCAUCAUCAUGGCUUCAUUCCAUGGCUCAUAUCUAGAUCUCCAGGAGUCCAGGGUGCCCUCAUAAUAAUUAAUGA